ensembl:lncRNA
AUGGAACUUUUUUUUACUUGCUUUCUUUAACUUGCAUUUGGUGUUUGGCGAGUGUUCAUUUUGGUCCCUUUGUGUCACACUCUUAUACCUAAAAAGAAGAUAAGACAUUACACUCUAUCAUCAGAUCUGCUAAUCCAUAUGAAGGUCACUACAAAUCAUCCACAUUUCACACCUGCAGAUUUAUUGUGUUAUUUCUAUUUAAGAGAAAUUUCCGCAUUAUUUGUUUGGGAAAGAGUGAAAACAGUUUUGGUUCCUGGUGAUGGAUUUAUUAUUUUGUUAUUUUUGUCAGCACCAACUUCUGGAGAAAAUUGUAAUCACUCUGCCAUGAAAACUUCGCCUCAGGAGAGGAGGGCUGGAAGUCUCACCUCAUGGGAACUGAGGGAUGCAAACAGAACUCACGGAGGAGAGCGGUACAGCAGAGCACUCUCUCACAUGCACAAGGUGAUCAUUCAUCUCCUUUGGCCUCAAUAAGACCUUUACAACCCCACACUGUCCCCUACUGCCCCACAUUGCCCCAUAAAGCCCCUAUAGAUCCCAACUGCCCUACACAGCUUCCACAACGUACAAAUCUGCCCCACGUGACCUCAAAGAGUCCCACAAUGCCCCAUCCUCCACACACUGCCUCUGAAUAGACUGUUCAGUAAAGUAUUAUUUUGAAUACUGUUUACUUUGGUUAAAUUAUAUAGCAUUGCACAAUGCAUUUCUCAUUAACUCCUCAGGUGUUUGUGUGUUGCCUUCAGGAAAAACAGGCAGUACAGCUAUAGCUAAAACAACAAUGGUCAUAUCCGAGCCCAAGGCUCCAGGGCUGAGCAGAGGCAGUCGCAUCCCUGCUCCAGCUUCCAGGAUCAACAGACGCUCCAGACUUUAAGCCACCGACUACAACAGGCAUAGCACACAGACUACAUGCUAACUCUAGUACCUUUGCUGAAUCUCCUGUGAGAGAGAAAAAACACAAAUCUACUUUAUAUCAGGUUUCAAAUAAUGCAUUAUUGCACUUUUAUUGCUGUACUGAUUUAGAAAUAUCCCUGUAGGACAGCAUCAUUAUUUAAAGCACACAUUAUUAUUUACCCAUAAAUGAAUGUAAAAUAUCUGAAAUGUGUGUGUGUGUGUGUGUGUGUGUGUGUGAACAAAAAUACUUUUUUUAAAUGCUGAAAAACAGGUUUAUAAGCAGAUAACGCAGUUUGUAUUUAACUCUGUUUACCAUUUCAGGUAAAUCACCUGGAUUUUUUUGUUAUCUAAUUGAGAAUUUUAUGUUUUAUGUUGUUUUAUACUUGUUUGUUUAGUGUGUGUGUGUGUGUGGUGUGCGGUGUGCAGUAUGUGAACAUUUUUAUGAUUGUAGCACUUUUAUAUUUGGUGGGUUUUAAAGCAUCGUUAGCAGCACAGCCAAACAUACAAAAGUAGCCUUUUGAAAAGAAAGCAAAAAUUCUGUUCAAGAGAUUUGAACCUUAGAUUCUUAUUGUAUCUGAUUCAGAUUAAUGCACUUAAAUUUCCAGCAGCAGCCACCUUGCAACGUUUAGUUUACAAACAAACCAAAAUAUUGUUUUUCUUGAAGAGAGCAAAGGUUCAAGUCGCAGAACUGCCUUGGUGCUUCUCAGAGACUUGGAACAGAGAUGUUGCCAAUACAUGAAGCCACUGCUGAGAGAAUAGAGUCAUAAGGGAUGAAGCUCUUAGACUAUUAUUUCAUGUUUGGUCUUUGCAUUUGCUUCAGUAUUAGAGAAACUCUUGGCCUGUUUUGUUGGCACGUUACCAGUUUUGUCUAGUGUGUAAUGUGUUAAAUCACUGGGUAUCAUCUGCAUCAAACUGCUGUCCUCCUGACUGUGUUAGAAAUGAAAUGCUUUAGUCCAGUUAUGACAGAAGAUAUGAAACAACAUAAAGGCAGUUUGAGUUGAAUAGGAUUAUCAUGUGCCUGAAAAUUAGCCAUAAUGUCACUUUUUAAAGUAUUUGCAUAUAGUGAAGACUGGUAUGCAGUCCAGAAUAUUAUGUGAGACGUGAGUCCAGGGACUUCAGGGAAGGAAUUUUCAAGGUACAACCCAAUAGGCUUUAACAGUAUGCUAUACCGGAAUAAAACAAACCAGUUUAAAACUCUUGGAGUGAUCGCAACACAGGCAUUUCUUUUUAAGAAUGUUUUCUAGUGUUGUGGCUGACAAAAUGCAUUGUCUGUUCCUUGUACAGCUCACUUCUGAGACAUGCAUUAUAUAAAUAACAAAAAUCAACCCAUGCAGACACGAUUCACUCAUGUGACAUGACUGAGAUGUCUUAUCUAAUAUUUAAAUAUCACUUAUUUAUCGAUUUAAAUAAAGCAACCUAAACAAUUAUUUCAGAGUGGAUAGAGUGAUCUGAAAGUGAUCUGAAAGUGUCAAUUUGUUUGCAGAGAUGACUGACACAUACCCAAUAGUAUUAAUUUUUCAGGCAAAAGUAUAAAUAUCUAUACAAUAUAGAUAAUAUAUAGGUGAAUAUGGUAGAAUAUCAUAUAUUGUUUGUUUCUUUUUUUUGUGGAGUAGAGCUUUUUUGUUGUUUGCUUUCAUUUGGAUAUAAUUUAAUUAUAGUAGCAGAAUUAAGAGGCACAGCAGAGUCGUAUCGUAGUAAUCUGGAGGAGAUGCCUGAAAAUUUUUGGGAACCAUAAAUGAAUUUACCAGCCAAUUAGAAAGUACUUCAUAGGUUCAGUCUUUAGUCUGGCUGCUUUCCAUUUUCCUUAGGUGUGCAGUUCACAACUUUAAUGUUGUCUGCACAGAUUAAGCUUUUGCUCUUAGACAUGCAAUGAAGACAAUUUAAAACAUUCAUGUGAAACAAGAUGUAUACUGAUGGUAAUUUGAAUUGUCAGUCAGUACACAUUAUUUCAAUGCCCCUCCGCUGUAUGUGCAUUGAUAUCAACAGAAGCUAAUAUUUGCUUUGUAGCUUGUUAGAAGCUGUUUUCAUAAAUAUAUUUGAAAUUUAAAUGUAUUUGUCACAUGCUUGUUUGUUUGAUCUGUUAAAAUACUCUAAUGCAAUAAUGUAAAUAUACAAUUUAGCUUUGUAAAAGUUUUUUGAUUGUGACACAAACACCAAACCAAAUCAACACAUCUGAAAAAUGAAAUUUUGAUGGUGGUCUGUUUAUCAUGAAAUGCUAUUCACUCACAAAUGAAAUGAUGCAGAUCAAUGUCAUUUACUCACCCUCAUGUCAUUUCAAACUUGUAUGACUUACUUUCUUACAUGAAACACCAUAGAGAACAUUUCAAGUGAGUUCUGUAAACAGUGAAUAAUGACUUCAAUUUCAGACUGUUCCUCAUACAAAGCUGAUGGUGCAGAUGAUUUUAGAAUGUGAAACAGCGCAUAACAUGCAUUCUAAAUGUUUUAGAAUAGGUUAAUCAUACUUUAUGGUGUUUAAAAGCUACAGUCUCCAUUCAUUUUAUGACAUUAUUCAAACAUUCUUCUAAUGAAUUGGUGCAUCAUAAUUGGCAUAGAAAUACAUUUUAAAUGUAUGUUUGAUCUAAGUCAAACAUUUUCCAGGUUAGGCCAACUGGCAUGAGUUUUAAAUGCUAUUGUUUUAAAUGUAAAUAAAUAUAAUCAAUUAAUUACAUUAUUUGUUGGCUAAAAUAGGUGUUACAUGUAUGUAGGUUACCUUUUACAUUAGCCUAAUGCUUUGUUCCUCCACUGGAGCAUGUUGUCAGGUCCACUUGUGUUUAAUUGGCAUCUUUUUCUAUUUAUAUAUUAUAUAUAUAAACCCCCCGUGGGUUUUAUCUUUUUAGCCAAGUCAAGGUAUGUGUUCAGAAUAAUUGGAAGAAAAAAAAAUCCAAUAUUCACUUGAGUAAACAUGGUUGAGCAAGGUCUAUAUUAGGCUUACACACUGUAAUAUUCAAAACUGCAUUGAUUAGGUUUGAAGUUGUUCUCUGUAGAUAAGACAAUAAUAAAAAGACUUGCGAUUUAUUACAUUUUACAGUUGAUAACACAAGUAAUCAUCAUCCUUCCUUACAAAAAAAGAAAAGAAGAAGAAAAAACUUC